GGAGUAUAGCCAAGUGGUAAGGCACCGG
rnacentral:sRNA from 1 species